ensembl:lncRNA
UGAAAAAGUAUGAAUAUCUAAUUUGGAGUGAGCAUGGUAAUCAAAAAUGAUGGUUCCUUGACUAAAAACAAUUGGAUUUUGCAGACAUGCCUGGAAUCUGUUAUACAUUUGUGUCUUUGAGAAACAUAUUGACUGAAUUACCGCCUAGUCACAGCUCAUAAAUUAAGUAUAUUUCUGAUCUAUUCUACAGGGAAAAAAAAGAGAAGCAGAAAGGGGCCUACAGAUAGGACCUGGUCCUGUGAAGGCAUGCCAUGCAUUGAGUGAUUGCAUAUUCUCAUUUGAUGAGCACAAUGGCUUACACCAAAGUUUUCACUUAUAAGCUUCCUGAAGCAUUUUCUUUUGAGGCUGAAUUUCUCUACGUACAGGACUUACGCAUGUUCUACAAUCAGAAAGAACAGCAAUUUGUUGGAGCAAAUGAUUCAUUAUCCAUUACAUUCUUAGUUCAGUGGCAAGGCAUUUUUAAGUGAAAAUCCAUUCAGUACUUCUAGAUUAGUUCCAAAAAAAGUUAAAUAAAUACAAGAAGCCAAUGACUCUGUGCAUGCUAACUCAAGUUGUUUCCAAAUUAACCUUUCUGAUCCAAAAAAUGCUUAGAUCUGGACAAAUGGCUUCUGCUCCUGAAAUGUAUGGGUGAGUUAUAAACACUGUGUGAGUGUAAAAACAUUACAAUUAUAAUGUUCUAUACAAUGUAUGCUGUGAAUGGUGGUGUUUUUUAAGUUGAGUAAUUACAGGGUGGAGAGAAUGCGUGGCCAAUGGUGGUGGGUUAAUUACAAGACCAAACACCCACUAUAUCUUGCUGAAAGAGUCUUGAAACGAUUAUACAUUGUUGUAACUAAUAGCCUUGUUCGGGCUAUUGAUUGGAGAGCUAUCCUCAAUUUAAAAGAAAUGUGCAACUUCUAUCUAAGCGCCUUUACCAUUUAUUAAAUAAUGCUGUAUAUCACAGGGAGGGGAGCUUAGUUUCUGGAAAUAGGGUCUAUUUACACGGUUAAUUUACACUUGACAACUUUACAUUGACUUUUUUCUUUCUUUCCCCUCCUAUGGUCAGACAGUUUCCUGCCCUUUCUCAGGACACAGCAGUUUGGUUGAAAAUACUUCAAAAUAG